AGAGUUUGAUCCUGGCUCAGGAUGAACGCUGGCGGCGUGCUUAAUACAUGCAAGUCGAGCGGUAACAGAGGAAGCUUGCUUCCUGCUGACGAGCGGCGGACGGCUGAGUAACGCGUAGGAACGUACCCCGAAGUGAGGGAUAAGCACCAGAAAUGGUGUCUAAUACCGCAUGUGCUCCACGGAGUAAAGCUUCGGCGCUU
rnacentral:rRNA from 1 species